AACGCACAUUGCACCCCCUGGUAUUCCGGGGGGUAUGCCUGUUCGAGCGUCAUUAUCAACCAUCAAGCUCUGCUUGGCAUUGACAUGCACCCCCUCUCGGGGGGCGCGGUCCAAAGUUUUCGGCUGAGGGUAGUGUUCCUUCUCUAGCGUCAGUAAAUACUUCCCGCUAUCGAUCGAAGGGCCUCGCAAAGCCUCUAAAACCACACACCUCAAGGUUGACCUCGGAUCAGGUAGGGAUACCCGCUGAACUUAA
rnacentral:misc_RNA from 1 species